rnacentral:rRNA from 1 species
CCAUGCAGUCGAACGGCAGCACAGCCCACAAGGGUGGGUGGCGAGUGGCGGACGGGUGAGGAAUACAUAGGAAUCUACCCUGUCGUGGGGGAUAACGUAGGGAAACUUACGCUAAUACCGCAUACGACCGAGAGGUGAAAGCGGCGGACCGCAAGGCGUCGCGCGGCUGGAUGAGCCUAUGUCCGAUUAGCUAGUUGGCGGGGUAAGGGCCCACCAAGGCGACGAUCGGUAGCUGGUCUGAGAGGAUGAUCAGCCACACUGGAACUGAGACACGGUCCAGACUCCUACGGGAGGCAGCAGUGGGGAAUAUUGGACAAUGGGCGCAAGCCUGAUCCAGCAAUGCCGCGUGGGUGAAGAAGGCCUUCGGGUUGUAAAGCCCUUUUGUACGGGAAGAAAUCCUGUCGGUUAAUACCCGGCGGGGAUGACGGUACCGUAAGAAUAAGCACCGGCUAACUUCGUGCCAGCAGCCGCGGUAAUACGAAGGGUGCAAGCGUUAAUCGGAAUUACUGGGCGUAAAGCGUGCGUAGGCGGUUGGUUAAGUCUGUCGUGAAAGCCCUGGGCUCAACCUGGGAAUGGCGAUGGAUACUGGCCAGCUAGAGUGUGAUAGAGGAUGGCGGAAUUCCCGGUGUAGCGGUGAAAUGCGUAGAGAUCGGGAGGAACAUCCGUGGCGAAAGGCGGGCCAUCUGGAUCA